UUCUCUCUCUCUCUCCACCUAAGAAAUCAGCAACAAGAAAAUAACAAUGUAUAAAGGUUUUUGGAAGAUUAAUUUGCUUAAGAUAUAAUAAUACUCUUCUUCCUUUGGUUGUCAAUUUACAAAAUCUUAAAAAUUCAAUUGAUAUAAUUAUUUCAAUUAAGUUUGGAUAGCAAUAAUUAUGAAUUUAGUAGUAUCAUUUGGUUAGUCUAUAUUGGUUUUGUUCUCAUAAUUCCUUUCUCUAAUACUUAUAUUGAAUAUCAUAUAUGCAUAUUGAUAUAUGCAAAUAUGCUAUUGAUAUAGUUUCUCUUUCUGUCAUGCUCUCCAAGUUAUUUCUACCAUCAGGUUAUUAAAUUCAUAUAGGAGUACGUCUUCUUGGUGAUCAUUGUUUAAUUCAUAUGUUAAUAUGUUUAUUUUUGGUGUUAUGUUUAAGAACUUAUUAAAUUUUUGAUAUUGCAUAGUUGAAUUAACAUACAGGCAUACAAGGUACUGGAACUUAAUUGU
rnacentral:lncRNA from 1 species